rnacentral:rRNA from 1 species
AUUGAACGCUGGCGGCAUGCCUUACACAUGCAAGUCGAACGGUAACGCGGGGCAACCUGGCGACGAGUGGCGAACGGGUGAGUAAUGCAUCGGAACGUGCCCAGUAGUGGGGGAUAGCCCGGCGAAAGCCGGAUUAAUACCGCAUACGACCUACGGGUGAAAGCGGGGGACCGUAAGGCCUCGCGCUAUUGGAGCGGCCGAUGUCAGAUUAGGUAGUUGGUGGGGUAAAGGCCUACCAAGCCUACGAUCUGUAGCUGGUCUGAGAGGACGACCCGCAACACUGGGACUGGGACACGGCCCAGACUCCUACGGGAGGCAGCAGUGGGGAAUUUUGGACAAUGGGCGCAAGCCUGUUCCAGCCAUGCCGCGUGCGGGAAGAAGGCCUUCGGGUUGUAAACCGCUUUUGUCAGGGAAGAAACGCUCCGGAUUAAUACUCUGGGGUAAUGACGGUACCUGAAGAAUAAGCACCGGCUAACUACGUGCCAGCCGCCGCCGUAAAAC